rnacentral:lncRNA from 1 species
UGACUGUGUAUGUAGAUUCUUAACUUUUGGUCCCGUUUUCAAAUUGGUCUACAUUAAGGUCCAAAGGGUCCAAAAUUAAACUUAGUUUGAUUUUGACAAAAAAUGAAUCAGUUAGGUUCUUUGAUAUGCUGAAUCUGAAAAUGUACUUAGAUUCUUGAUUAUUGGCCCAGUUUUCAAGUUGGUCCAAAUCGGGGUCCAAAAUUAAACUUUGUUUGAUUUCAUCAAAAAAUUGAAAUAAAUGGGGUUCUUUGAUAUACCAAAUCUAACUGUGUAUGUAGAUUCUUCAUUUUUGGUCCUGUUUUCAAAUUGGUCUACACUAAAGUCCAAAGGGUCCAAAAUUAAACUUAGUCUGAUUUCAACAAAAAUUGAAAUCUUGGGGUUCUUUGAUAUGCUGAAUCCAAAAAUGUACUUAGAUUUUUUAUUAUGGGCCCAGUUUUCAAGUUGGUCCAAAUCAGGAUCUAAAAUUAUUAUAUUAAGUAUUGUGCAAUAGCAAGUCUUUUCAAUUGCACAGUAUUGCGCAAUGGCAAGAAAUAUCUAAUUGCACAAUAUUGUGAAAUAGCA